AUGUCAGGGAGAGAGCUUCCGACGAUUGUAUGCAUGGCGCUCUGUGCGAAGACAAAAAUGUCACAUACAUUGCCUCUGAUGCUGCUGUUCUUAGUGAAGCAUAUGUUGAGGAGACAACUCCUAGUGAUAGUUUGCAUGAUACUCACUGUGAAGAGAAAAGUGUCACAUUUGUGGCAGAUGAUACCGUUCCAAGUGCAGAGCCUUGUAACCAUCCUGAGAUCAAUAACACCUUGGAAUGCGAAGAGCGUGCCAAGGAAAUCAGCGAGAAGGCCAAGCUGCAAGAGCCUGAAAGCACCUGUACUGGAAGCUGUAACAAUAGUGUAUACUAUCAGUAUCAGUUUGGUGAAUUCAUGA
rnacentral:rRNA from 1 species